AGUGAACGCUGGCGGUAGGCCUAACACAUGCCAGUCGAACGGCAGCACAGUAAGAGCUUGCUCUUACGGGUGGCGAGUGGCGGACGGGUGAGGCAUACAUCGGAAUCUACUUUUUCGUGGGGGAUAACGUAGGGAAACUUACGCUAAUACCGCAUACGACCUACGGGUGAAAGCAGGGGAUCUUCGGACCUUGCGCGAUUGAAUGAGCCGAUGUCGGAUUAGCUAGUUGGCGAGGUAAAGGCCCACCAAGGCGACGAUCCGUAGCUGGUCUGAGAGGAUGAUCAGCCACACUGGAACUGAGACACGGUCCAGACUCCUACGGGAGGCAGCAGUGGGGAAUAUUGGACAAUGGGCGCAAGCCUGAUCCAGCCAUACCGCGUGGGUGAAGAAGGCCUUCGGGUUGUAAAGCCCUUUUGUUGGGAAAGAAAAGCAGCAGGUUAAUACCCCGCUGUUCUGACGGUACCCAAAGAAUAAGCACCGGCUAACUUCGUG
rnacentral:rRNA from 1 species